rnacentral:rRNA from 1 species
GUGGGGAAUCUUCCGCAAUGGACGAAAGUCUGACGGAGCAACGCCGCGUGAGUGAAGAAGGUUUUCGGAUCGUAAAGCUCUUUCGUUAGGGACGAACGUGCUCUUUGUGAAUAAUGAGGAGUAAUGACGGUACCUAAAUAAGAAGCCACGGCUAACUACGUGCCAGCAGCCGCGGUAAUACGUAGGUGGCACGCGUUGUCCGGAAUUAUUGGGCGUAAAGCGCGCGCAGGCGGGAUAUCAAGUCUGUCUUAAAAGUGCGAGGCUCAACCUCGUGAGGGGACAGAAACUGGUAUUCUUGAGUGUCGGAGAGGAAAGUGGAAUUCCAAGUGUAGCGGUGAAAUGCGUAGAGAUUUGGAAGAACACCAGUGGCGAAGGCGACUUUCUGGACGAUGUCUGACGCUGAGGCGCGAAAGCUAGGGGAGCGAACGGGAUUAGAUACCCGUGUAGUCC